AACUAGACAUAUUUUUAGACAUGUGGUAGAUCUCAUCAUUGUUAUCCCCAUGCUGCAUAUGAAACCGCAAGGGGUGAAAUUUCCUGCUGAGGAACACAUGUUUACUAAAUAAGAAGAGCUGGUGCUUCCGAAUUUCCUGUAAAGUGGCUCUAAAAGAUAAAUUCAUUUUGCUGCAAAAACAUUGAAAUCCAUGCAUACAAGGACAUCGCCUAUAAACUCCUGAAAUAACUAUGCAAGGAUUUCAAAUAUUUAUGCACCAAAAUAAGUUUAAUUCCACUUUCCAUGAAUGUUUGAAGUACCUUGGUGCAAUGUUAAAAUCUCCUUGAUGGGAUAGUGCCUACUGCUUCUUAGAGUGUAGAAAUAGAAUUUGGAAGAGCAAGAAAAGGUGCUAGAGUCCCAGUCUGUUACCUGACACUCCAAACAUUUCAAGCUUCUUUACUAUUAAUGCUUUCGUUCAUUGGGAGAGAUCCCAGCCGCUUUAGUUAAGAUGAGUAGGAGAGACCUUUGUCAUAGUUAUCGAAAUCCCAGAUAAUGAUUUGGCCUCAUCUGUACAUUAAGCUACAGCACAGAAAAAAAUACAUGAAAAAAAUGAAAAAAAUGAAUAAUGAUUGUAAGUAUUCCCUGCCUUCAGCAACAUUUUCAUCUUGAAUUUAAAAGUGAGGAAAAAUCCUCUCUCUCUCUCCCUCUCCCUCUCUCUUUCAUUUAAUGUAGGAAGGAAAAAAUUCAUAAGCAUCACAUUGCUUGUUAGAGAUUCAUACAAAGCAACCCAAUGGACAUGUGACUGCAUUUUGCAGAACUGAAGCUCCUUUACUGAAUAUAGACAGAUGUUGGGGCACGGUUUAGGAAAAGGGAAUUAGGUAUCUUGAUGCUCCUAGUAAGAGCACAAGCAGAUAAACACUGCUUACAAAAGCCAUUUGACAUUGGUGAAAUGCUGUGCAAACCUUGAAGGGAAGGUUAAGUGGAUGACUCAGCCUGCUACCUGCCAUGCUAGGGCAGUGAGGUCUUAGAAUUUUCCCUUCAAUGAUUGAGGUAAAAACAUUCUGAUGUAACAUUUUCACCAUGCUUUUGAUUUUCCCCAGUCACUUUCCCAUGUUGUCCUUGAGACAAAUGGCAAUUGGGGCAGAUUCUCUUAUUCCUAUUAAUCCAAGUGAUUGAAAGACAUGUGUUAGUUACUGUUUAUUCAGCUGUUGAAAGACAUCUGGUAUUUUUCUCAUUUCUUGCUAUGAAUAUAAGUUCGCAUUGCUCUGGGAUAAAUGUCUGAGUGUGCAAUUGUUGAUCUACAUGGUAAUUUCACGUUUCUUUCUUUAGGUUUUCUGUGUCUUCAUUCUACUUGAAAAUCAGAGAGACACACAGAGAGAUCUUCUAUCCACUGGCCCAUCCUCCAAAUGUCUGCAACAACUAGGGGUAGCCAGGCCAAAGCUGGGAGCUUGGAGCUCAAUCCUGGUCUCCCAUGUUGGUGCAGGAAUGCUACUAACUGGACCAUGCUUUGCUGCCUCCCAGAGUGCACAUUAGCAGGAAUCUGGAUUGGAAGCAGGGGAGCCAGCACUUGAACAAAGCUGUCCUAUAUGGAUGCAGUCAUCCCAGGUGGUAGUGACCUAACUGUAGUAUGUGUCUGCCGCUCAUUUUUUUUUUUCUUAAUUGCUGAACUGUUUCUCUGAGUGGACUUAAAUCAUUUUGUGUUUACAGCAGCAACCUGUGAGUGAUCCCAUUUCAUCUCAUUCUCACUAGCAUUUGAUGUUGUCACUAUUUUAUAUUUCAGUUAUUCCAAUAUACUUUGUGAUUCCAAUUUGCAUUUCACUUAAUAGCUAAUGAUAUUGAACACAUUUUCAUGUGCUUCUACAUAUAAAUGCUUUGUCACACAAUAAGUGAUUUGCAAUUAUUUUCUGUGAAUCUAUAUCUUUUCUACAUUUCACAGCAUAUUUUGGAAAUCUUCAUAAUUUUAAUGAGGUCUAAUUUAUCAGUUUUUCUUCUUAGGAUUGUGCUUUUGGUUUCAUAUCUAAGAACUUUUGGCUAGUCAUAGGUUCCAAAUAUUUUCUCCUGUUAUUUUCUGUAGAUGUUUCAGUUUCGCAUUUUGCACUUCACAUUUUUUAUCCCUAUCUCAUUUUGUAUGAGAUAUAUUUGUCUAAAUCAAUUUUUGUAUAAUUACAAGUCAAGAUUUUUUUUUUUUUUGCCAAUUGAGGCCAAUUUCUCCAUUGCUGUUAAUUUAAAAGAUAAUUAUUGAGUUACUUUUCUUUGCCAAAAACUAAUUGAGAGCUGGUGUUUAGUCUAGUGGUCAAGAUGUCUGCAUCCUAGUUUCCAUUCUCAGCCGUGGCUUCUGGCUCCUGCUUCUUGCUAAUGCAGAGCAUAGGAGGCAUGAGGAUAGCUCAAGUAAUUGGGAUCCUGCCACCUUUGUGGGAAAACUGGUUGAAUUACGAGCUCUUGGCUUCUGUUUAGUCCCAGCUUGGCUGUUACAGGCAUUUAAAGAGUGAACCGGUGGAUGGGAGCUCUUUCUCUCUGCCUCUCAAAUAAUAAAAAAUUAAUUGUACAUACUUGUGUGAGUCGAUUUCUGAGUUCCCUAUUCCACUGAUUUUUAUGUCUAACUCUCCAUCAAUAAUGCUAUCUUAAAUACUUCAGCUAUACACCGAGUUUGAAUAUCAUGAAGAGGAAUUCUUCCCACUUUUCUUUAAUUUUGAAACUCAUUUUAAGAACUGUAGCUCUAUGAGAGCUCUUUUCUCUUUUUCUCUGUAUCUUUCGUCUCUCUGCCUUAAAAACAAAAAACAAAAUCAAAUACAACUCUUUUAAUCCAUGUUCCCCUGAAAAUAUUUAGGACAAUUGCUUGAGGGGAGAGGAAAUACUCAAAUAAUCCAACUUGUUUUUUGUUAAAAUUGCAUAUAUUUUUAAAAAAAUAUCUGUUUGAAAGAGGGAGAGAGUGAGAGAGAGAAGGAGAGAGAGAGAGUCUUUCAUCUGCUAGUUCACUCCCAUAAUGGCCUGGGCAAGGCCAAAGCCAAGAAUCUGGGAAUUCAUCAGGGUCUCCCAUGUGGAUGGUAGGGGCCCAACUACUUAGGCCAUCUUCUGCUGAUUUUCCAGGAGCACUGACAGGGAGCUGGAUUAGAAGUAGAGUAGCUUGGACUUGAACUUGCACCCAUAUGGGAUGGCAUUGUCGCAAGUGGUGGCUUAACCCACUGCACCACGAUGAUGUCCCCCAAAUUACAUACUUUUUAAAAUUUAGAGAUGGGAGACUAAUCAAAGCCAGUACAAACUUACAAACUUUGCUCUGUUUAAUUACCUUCAGAACCAAAAUGCAAUGGAAUGAAUGAUGCGUGAGACUGGAGAAGAAGAAUGUGUAUGCAGACAUGAUGAUAACAUCAAGAUGAUCAAAGAUAGCAAGAUGUGGCUGCAAAUAGGAAGCUGCUCUGUGAACCUCAAGAUUCUUCCUUUCUCUAUUUUGCUGUUGUCCUGAAUUAGAAAUCUAUUGAUGUUACCAGGGAGAUAAGGUCUAGCUCCAAAUGCUUAGCAUCAUCAAAUUCUGAUUAUCUGGUGAUUUGGUCUCCACAAUGGAUAUGCCUCUAUAGAGAGAACACACAUGCCCCCAAUUUACAUGCUAUGGUUUGAACAUGUCUCUCAAAGUUCAUGGGUUGCUGACUUAAUCCCCAGUGCAACACUAAUGAGAAGAGGGACCCUUUAGAGCUGAUUAGGUCACCAGGGUUUUGCCCUCUUGAAUGGAUUAACACCCUCACAAGUGAACCUCUGACAAAUAGGUUAACACAGCAAGGAUGAGCAGCAAGAAGACCCUCACCAUAUGCCAGCACUUUGAUAUUGGACUUCUCAGCCUUCAGAACUUUUUCCAAGUGGCUGAGAAAAAAAUGCAAAAGGGGAAUAAUUUAGAUUCAAAACAUUAAUGGAAAAUGAGUUUUUCCUUUCCUAUGUGAAGACCCAAAGGCACUUACAGGAAGCAAGCAUGUUGAGCAAAUUACAACACUUCAGCCAUUUCCAGGUGCUGGUUUGGUGAUGAUUAUGAUGAUGGUGAUGAUGAUCUUCAGAAGUUUGUCUAUAUUGAAGGGAAGAGGCAUGGUGAAUAAAAAUCAGGAGAAUUAGAGCUCCUAACCUUUCAAAUUAAUACAACAAAAUGCAGAUGAAUGCCAAGGUUGUAGAAGACAAUGAACCCAGAGCUACAAAUCCAAAAUCAAAAUAAGGCUUGGCUCUGGCCAAGAGUGAAUGAUAAUCUGGUUCAUGAAACUGAUAAAAACAUAAGUCACCACACGGCAAGUCCUAAAGAAGUCACUAUAAACUGAGUCACCUGUGAGUAUAAAGAAAGCAGACAAUAAAGGGCAGAAGAAGACUCAGAAAGUGAUAUUUCACCUGAAUCUUUAAGCUUAUAUAUUUUUAGUUUCUACUUCAAUCAAUAUCUAGCUUAGUUUUCUGUAAGUUGCUGGGAAAACACUGAAACUUUUUUCACACAAUCUUAUUUUUUGUCUUUCUUUUUUCUUUUAUGCAUAAUUUUUAAAAAUUAUUUAUUUAAAAGACAGUAUGACAGAGACAGGCAGAAAUCUUUCAGCUAAUGUUCACUUCCUAAAUGACUGUGAGGGUUGGGCCAAGUAAAAGCCAGGAUGGUAUAGGUAGCAGGGACCCAAGCACUUGAGUUACCAUCUGUUACCUUUCAGGGGGCAUAUUAGACAUUAACAGGCAGCUGGAUUCAGGGGCAGAGCAGAGACUUAAAUCUAGUCACUCUGAUUUCAGGUGUGGGCACCCCAAAUAGCAUCUUAAUAACUAUACCAAAUGCCUGCUCCUCUGAAGUUUUCAC